CAGUACUGAUCCAGUGGGCGCUGGUGUUGAUGACGGAGAAGACAAGAGGAAAACUAAAUUACACCCUGACUCCUCAGUAGGGGCCUCCAAGAUGAAAGGCCAGGGGCAUACAGAACCUGUCAAGUCACCCGAUGAGAAACUGAUCUUCGACUACGAGGAGGCACUCACAGCUAUCCGCAAAUUGGUGUUAGCAGAAGCCCACAAGAGGGAGACAAAAGAGCACAAGGAAAGAGUACAAGAUAAGGAGAGGGCGAAGGCCGCUGCAAGUGAAAACAAAAAGGAAAAAGAGAAGCAGUCAGCAAAAAAA